rfam:Ictidomys tridecemlineatus contig093607, whole genome shotgun sequence.
GGGGAUGUAGCUCAGUUGGUAGAGUACUUGUCUCACAUGCACAAGCCCUGGGUUCAAUCCCCAGCACCA